UUCUCUUUAGCAUGUUUAGCUUAGUUCCACUCCUCUAGCUGAUGUGACGUGAGUCAGGGUUGCCAGAUCUGACACAAAACGUGUAACUUUCAUCCCUAAAAUAGACAUUUUUCAGUCACAGCUAUGCAUUAAACAUAAUUUAUAACUAAAAAACUACUUUAUAGGGUAGUGGUAAUCAUAAAAAUGACCUGAUUUCAUAAAGGAGCUUCCUACGACUUUCCCCUUUCUCACAAAUAUACCCUUCACCUGUCUUAUCAUUUAGCACAGUUUUAUCACAGGUGAAAUAUUAAAUGGGUUAAAUAUUUCAAUAGCAUAAUUUCUGUCAGAUAGAAUUUAUGUAUUAUGAAAAAAAAACAGUUUAAAAGUAGCCGAGUUCUGUGUAAAAACUGGGGACUUGGCAACCCUGCUCUGACUGCAGUAGAGCGAUCUGUGCUGCACUGCACUCUCUACAAGUGACGUGAAACACUGUACUGAGCUUCAACACGCUCCUGUCACUCUGAUGUUAAAUCUCCACCCAAAAUGACUGUUUGACUGAAAUCACCUGCAAAAUAUAUAAAAAUGAUGAUUUAAAAUCUUGAUUUUCAUCAAACACACACUUAUUUGUUAUGAAUCUGUUAGAUUAGUAAUAUAAGCAGAUCGUGUGCUGUUUGUCAGUCAAUAAUGUGCUCUCUGAAGAUUUCCUGUAGAGCUGAUGUGGUCAGAGAUAUGGAAAGGGGAAGGAAAUGUUAAAUAUAGUUGCAGACGCAGCAUACUUUUUCACUCAAUACGGAAGAAAAAGACCAUAACACUCGCAGACACAGAGUUUUUGUCUUAUAUUUAAGCAAACUCAUGUAAAAUGUUCAGAAUGUGUGUCGUUCUGCUCGUCUUUUCCAGCAUCUGUACAGUUGUUGUUGGUGCUCCAGUUAGAGUCAUGGGAUACAGAGGAGAGAGAGUUGACAUCAGAUGCACCUAUAAAUCUGGAUAUGAAUCAAAUUCAAAGUAUUUUUGUAAAGACGAGUGUAACAUUGUAAACGAAAAUAUCAUGGUUAAAUCAGGAUCUCCAGCUGAAGACGAGAGAUUCUCUCUGACUGACAACAAGACGGCCAGAGUUUUCACCAUCACCAUCACUGAUCUGAGAACAGAGGAUGAGGGACAGUACUGGUGUGGAGUGGAGAGCACUGGAACUGAUGUCUAUUCAGAGAUUCUGGUGCUGGUUAGACUGG